rnacentral:rRNA from 1 species
UACGUAGGGGGCGAGCGUUGUCCGGAAUUAUUGGGCGUAAAGAGCGUGUAGGCGGCCAGAUAGGUCUGCUGUGAAAACUCGAGGCUCAACCUCGAGAUGUCGGCGGAAACCAUUUGGCUAGAGUCCGGAAGAGGAAAGUGGAAUUCCUGGUGUAGCGGUGAAAUUCGUAGAUAUGGGGAGGAACACCGGUGGCGAAGGCGGCCAUCUGGACGGAUACUGACGCUGAGACGCGAAAGCGUGGGUAGCAAACAGG